rnacentral:rRNA from 1 species
GAUGAACGCUGGCGGCGUGCCUAAUACAUGCAAGUCGAGCGAACGGACGAGAAGCUUGCUUCUCUGAUGUUAGCGGCGGACGGGUGAGUAACACGUGGAUAACCUACCUAUAAGACUGGGAUAACUUCGGGAAACCGGAGCUAAUACCGGAUAAUAUUUUGAACCGCAUGGUUCAAAAGUGAAAGACGGUCUUGCUGUCACUUAUAGAUGGAUCCGCGCUGCAUUAGCUAGUUGGUAAGGUAACGGCUUACCAAGGCAACGAUGCAUAGCCGACCUGAGAGGGUGAUCGGCCACACUGGAACUGAGACACGGUCCAGACUCCUACGGGAGGCAGCAGUAGGGAAUCUUCCGCAAUGGGCGAAAGCCUGACGGAGCAACGCCGCGUGAGUGAUGAAGGUCUUCGGAUCGUAAAACUCUGUUAUUAGGGAAGAACAUAUGUGUAAGUAACUGUGCACAUCUUGACGGUACCUAAUCAGAAAGCCACGGCUAACUACGUGCCAGCAGCCGCGGUAAUACGUAGGUGGCAAGCGUUAUCCGGAAUUAUUGGGCGUAAAGCGCGCGUAGGCGGUUUUUUAAGUCUGAUGUGAAAGCCCACGGCUCAACCGUGGAGGGUCAUUGGAAACUGGAAAACUUGAGUGCAGAAGAGGAAAGUGGAAUUCCAUGUGUAGCGGUGAAAUGCGCAGAGAUAUGGAGGAACACCAGUGGCGAAGGCGACUUUCUGGUCUGUAACUGACGCUGAUGUGCGAAAGCGUGGGGAUCAAACAGGAUUAGAUACCCUGGUAGUCCACGCCGUAAACGAUGAGUGCUAAGUGUUAGGGGGUUUCCGCCCCUUAGUGCUGCAGCUAACGCAUUAAGCACUCCGCCUGGGGAGUACGACCGCAAGGUUGAAACUCAAAGGAAUUGACGGGGACCCGCACAAGCGGUGGAGCAUGUGGUUUAAUUCGAAGCAACGCGGAGAACCUUACCAAAUCUUGACAUCCUUUGACAACUCUAGAGAUAGAGCUUUCCCCUUCGGGGGACAAAGUGACAGGUGGUGCAUGGUUGUCGUCAGCUCGUGUCGUGAGAUGUUGGGUUAAGUCCCGCAACGAGCGCAACCCUUAAGCUUAGUUGCCAUCAUUAAGUUGGGCACUCUAAGUUGACUGCCGGUGACAAACCGGAGGAAGGUGGGGAUGACGUCAAAUCAUCAUGCCCCUUAUGAUUUGGGCUACACACGUGCUACAAUGGACAAUACAAAGGGCAGCGAAACCGUGAGGUCAAGCAAAUCCCAUAAAGUUGUUCUCAGUUCGGAUUGUAGUCUGCAACUCGACUACAUGAAGCUGGAAUCGCUAGUAAUCGUAGAUCAGCAUGCUACGGUGAAUACGUUCCCGGGUCU